rnacentral:piRNA from 1 species
UCAAUAAAUGUCUGAACAAAUAAGUGAGUGG